CGGGAGCUGCAUUCAGUUAGGAUGUGAAUACAUGAAAUAUUCAUCUCAGGACCUUCUAGAAGAAUGAGCUGGGACCCACUUUCCGAGUCCUGCUGGAACCAAAGACCGAGAUAUUGCCCAGGUGUCUGAAUGUCUACGUUGGGGUACCUUCUUUUCUGAUAGUCUAUAUUCCCAUAAGUAUUGCAGUCUGUCGGCCUUUGGACUUUAUCUUCUAUUUUAUCUCUCUGUAUGUUCACAUAAUCUUGUUGCAGUGCUUUAAUGAUGAGGGCUUCAUAAUUGCUUCAGUUUUCACCAAAUGGUAUGAGCUGCAGUUCCACUUAUGACAGAAAGCAUGGGCUUCCUGUGUUAGGUAUUCAAGAGCAAGGCAGAUACCCUGGACACUUGAACUGAGAAUGUCACUCUGUCUUUUUGCCAGCCCUCUUCCCUACCCUUGGAGACAAGAAUCUCCUUUUCUUCACACAGAAAUGUGGGUGAAGUCAGUAGAAAACAUUUCCUUCUCUUCCCUUCGUCUCUCAAACUCCCUGUCCCUACCUUCUGCCUGUCCCUUUCUCUGACCAAAUCCCCCAGGUCCACUGCUUCACUCCAGCCAUGAUCAGGGUGUCCUCCAGCUGCUGGCCUCUGCCCUGUCCAUCCCUCAGUGAGAAAUAUGGAGGCGGAUUAUGGAGUUCACAGGACUGAUCAAGAAAUCUGUGCUCCUCAGAGUCCUCCUACACAAGGUUGCUGUCUGUGGAGACCUGGCAUCCUGGGCGAGGGUCUGACUCCAUGUGUGGCCUCCUCACUCCUCUCCCGCAGUCACUGCUCGUCCCUCAUCCUUACCCUACCAUACCUUACCAUUAGAAAUCAGCCAUAUGCUAGGGACAGAUACCUGUCUAUCUGACCAGGGAGUCAGUGAAUAUUUCUAAAAUACAUGAGCACAAGCACCCCAUAAGUCUAGAUACAGGAAGUUACCACCACCCCAGAAAACUCUCUCAGGCUCCCCUGCACAAAAGGUGAGCUUGUUACUAUCCUCUGUCACUGCAAUUUCUCCUAGUUUGUUAUCUGUGUGUAUAGGAACCGCACUGUGUGUACUCGAUGGGGAGUGAGAGUAAGUCCUGCUAGAAGCAGAGAGUGAAACAGAGAACGGUGAAAGGUGUAUUAGGAGAUACUAAGUAGGACAAGGUAGAGGGCGCAGGGUGGGCAGGGAAAGCAUUCAAGCAGAUCUCACACCUUUUUAAAAUAUAUAAUCACCAUAGUCUGUCACCUCACACAGUCCUCUUCAAAUUUCAAAAUAGUUGUCAUAUAAGGCAGUGAGAUUUACGAGAUUUGGGGUUAUUUCCCUAGGGUUUUAUGUUUUCCUACACACAUUCUGUCUUCUGUAGUUUAUCUGUGGCCUCAGAUGAACACAUUAGUGUGUGGCUGCGUCUGUGAGUCUAUAUGUAAUGGAAUAUGACUGUCUUCACACCUCAGAUGUAGAUCUAUGAAUAUACACAUUCUCGUAAUUAUCUUUUCUUUCUUUGUCUGGUAGGUCCUGAGUUUUAAUAGAAAAAGCCUGUCUUUGUCUUAUUGUUUAAAACAGUGAUUCCCAAUCCCCGGGCUGAGGUGUUAACAGUCUUAGUUUAAUGAACUUCCGUGACCGUCUUUUUUUGAUGAUCAUUGUGUGGAGAUAUCUUAAUUGAAACUGUGAGAAGGGUGAGUGGACACUUCCCAGACAUUUUGCAGAUGCAUUCUGUAUUCAAUGUCUUCUUUUCAUAAUGUCCUUAGAAACAAAUAUUACCCCUUUUUCACAGAAAACAAAGCUGAGGCUCUGUGUAGGUCCCACUGAGAACUGGUAUUAGGGCUGAGACAGCAGGAACACAGGAAAAACCUUGGGAUAUUGUGAGAGAAGUCUGAGGAGAUGGAAAGCUGUAGUCAGGGUGAUGACAGGGGUCCAGCAAGGGUGGCAUCUGGUCAACCCUGAAUUGUAGGUUGACCCACUGGAGUCUGACUCCGGCUGAAAGCCAGUUCAGGCACUCAGCUGACCUAGAUCCUUUCUUCACUUUUAGUUUCACUGAGGGAUAUGAACUUAGACAAGCAUUUCCGUAAGACCAAAUUAAACUUCCCAUAUCUGCCGGGCAUUUUUCCCACAAAUAUCCAGAACCUUUAGAAAGCCCAGGGAGAAAACAAUCCAUUUAGAUGAUUGCCUAGGUGCACUUUGGCAGCACUGACGUUUUGGAGAUAAACACUGCAUUGUGCACUGAGAGUGAUCCCACAUAGCAGCUCCGUGUGGAUCUCAUGCUCCCUGCUCAGGCUGUGGCCAGGAAUGGCCUCCAACUGCAUCUCACUGAUCCCAGCACCCUCCCCUCUGCACCUCCUCAAACUCUGCUUACUGUGCUCAACUUCCCUUCUAUUCCUGCGUGAUUCAAGUUUCCCCCAUUUUUGCACUAGAUCCUUCACUGCUACUUCCACUAUGGUGACCACAAGGUCUGUGUCAUAUAAUGCAUGUGCCCCCUUUCAGACGGGACACCUGAGGCACCUACACUUAGGGGUACAUAUCAUCCUUCACAGAGCUCAAAACAUUGUGUCUGUAAGGUAGGCACCAGUGCUCCCAAUAUGUCUGCCUUUGUGUAAAAAUCCUCUUUCUUUUUGACAAGAGAAACCUACAGCUGACCUCAUUACAGGGACAUGACACAGCCCAUUGCACAUUAUGUCCCGAGAAACUUGAGAUAUGUGACACUGUCCUCAGGCAGGUUUGCAGUUGAAUUGCCAAGCCCUCACAAGCAUCCCUACAUCAUUCCCACCAAGUCUUUCAUGAAGAAGAUGAAUAUUCUUUACAAGUGCCUCAUCCAGUUCAGGUCAUCUUACCAAAUGGAGUCAGUGGAGAGUGGGGGGUGGCUCAUAGCCCAUGACUGAUGAUGGACGGUCCAGGGGGUAGGACAUGCAAGGUGAUCGUGAGUAAGGACCAGGCUCUCUUGUAUACAUAAUGGCCCAUAUAACAUAAAUUAAAGGUAUAAAGUUUCGGAGGCUGUGUCAUCCCCCUACUCUUUCCGAAUAGUAGGGUUAGGAUUCUCAUUUUUUUAGUAAAGCAUAUAGAAGCUGAGCCUCAAGAGAGAAGAUUGGAAUCCAGUUUUGACAGUAGACAGCCAGUCCAAGAAAGCCUUGUAAAAGCCUUGUAAUUUUAGGUUGUGGGAGAUUGAGGAUGCUUUGAGUCUGCCUGGAUCUAGAUAUUGGCCUUGUUCUGACAAUACGUGAGCUAAAUGCCUAACCGGAGUUUGAGCAAACUGCAGUUUUUCUUUGGAGUCUUCAUAGGCCUUUUAAAGCUAAAAGUUUUCACAGAUGGAUGCUGUCUUUGUGUGAAGAGGCAUGAGGAGGGGAACAGAGAAGCAAAUCAUAGACACACUGUAACAAAGUAGAGCCUACAGAACACUUUCCAUCAUCCAAAGCAGCCUUUCAGGUGUGUGGGAAACACGAAGCACUCUGUGAAACCCAGGGAGGUUACAGUCCAGAUGUACUGUCAUUCCCUGCAAGUGAAGGCAAAAACAUACUGGCUGUCCAUAUCAACUGGAAUGCUAAAAACUACAGCACAUAGGUCAAGGAUAGUGAAAACUUUGCUUUCAGUGGGAGUGGAUGUUGGUAGAGUGUGAGGUUUGGGAAGAAGGGUAUAUCGAGGGAUAACAGAGCUAUUUAUUUCUCGGAGGUCUUGGACAAAGUACUGUCCUCAGCAGUUGGGUUUUCUCACAGGUAUAAUAGAGGUAUUACAUGGACUACUGCAGGGGAUAAUGAGGCCACGAACCUUGUAACAUUCUAUUAGGGUGUUGAUGCCUUGAAGGCCUUCUUAAUUUAUAGGAUUUUGAUUAAUUCUAGGGAGAAGUUUUGCAGGAUCGAUUUGAAUCUUGACGGGAGGUGCACUGUGGAUUCUGCCAAGAUCAGUUGAAGAUUUUUCCCAUAAAGAGGAUGGUCGCUGAUCCAGUAGGAAUAAAUGAUCAGUACUGCCAGACUCAGCUAUAGUACCAGCAUAGACACGGCACAAAAAGUUGCCAAAGGAUCAUUUGUUUCCCCUUUUUGCUAUUUUGGUUACUAUUGUCAAAUUCUAGAAUUAUUUUUCCCUUUUGUACAAGAGAAAUUCCAGCAUGAUAUUUUUCUAAGAAAUCUCAGUCCAGUUAAUGAAUAGGGGCCGAAGAACUAAGGAGAAUAGGGUGUAUAUCUCUCAAAGGGCCUGGAUCAAAGGGAGUAGGUUCAGAGAUAGGAACCUGUUGAGAUCUAAUAGAUCCCCACCAAAUGAACUGUUUUUGUACUCCAAGGCUGGGGCUGCUUUAUAGCACUGGGGUUAGUUCCAGCUUCAGUAAAGACAGAGAUAUAUUCAUUCCCAAUCUGGAAAGUAGUUUCUCCAAAGAGAUUAAGAGUGAGGGUUGGGAAGGGCUCCAUUGUUCCUUCGAAUCCCAUCGUUGGGAAUUGGGAGGACAUUGAAAAGGUUGGCAAGAGGGCUGGAGGGCCUUGAAGCUCUUAAACUUAUAACCAUCUUUUUUUCCAAUGUCCUAGUUUCUUUCAGUCACAGCAGGAACUAGGCUUCUAGUUUUGGGGGGGCUUUAUUUGCUGGAGUUGAGAAUUGAAAAUUUAACAGUCUUUCCACUAGAUGACUCACCUAGGGUCUGAGCAAAAUGGUUUUCCAGGUUAAUUAAACCUGGAGUGGGCAUAGUUUCCCAUUCCAUUCUUGGUUCUUUUAACUAAAAGGGAAAGAUCCCAGACUAGCACAUUAAUAAACAUAGAUCUAAAGGAGGAGCAGAGUUUUCAUUAAAGACAAUUUGGAGUAAAAAGUAAUAAUCAUGAACAGAUUCAUGAGGCUUUUUUUGGUAUAAGACUGAACUUUGUUUCAACCUUCUGGUUUAAGAAAAGCCAUUAAAAUUGCUCAAUGGAGGGGCAUCUGGGUGGCUCAGUCAGUUAAGCUUUUUAUCUUGUUGAAGUCCCAGUAGUUCAUUUUUGCUUUUACUUUCCUUGCCUCCAGAGACGUCAAGUUAGAAGUUGCUAUGGCCGAGAUCAAAGAGGUUUUUGCCUGCUUUCUCCUCUAGGAUUUUGAUGGCUUCCUGCAUUGCGCGCCCCUCUUUCAUCCAUUCUGAGUUUGCUUUUGUGUAUGGUGUAAGAAAGUGGUCCACUUUCAUAUUUGCAUGUCACUGUCUAGUUUUCCCAACACUAUUUGCUAAAGAGACUGUCUUUUUUCCAUUGGAUAUUCUUUCCUGCUUUGCCAAAGAUUAGUUGGCCAUACGUUUGUGGGUCCAUUUCUGGGUUUUCUAUUCUGUUCAGUUGAUCUAUGUGUCUGCUUUUGUGCCAGUACCAUACUGUCUUGAUGAUUACAGCUUUGUGAUACAUCUUGAAGUCCGGACUUGUGGUACCUCCACUCUUGGUUUUCUUUUUCAGGAUUGCUUUGGCUAUUUGGGGUCUUUUCUGGUUCCAUACAAAUUUUAGAGUUUUUUUGUUGUAGCUCUGUGAAGAAUGCUGGAGUUAUUUUGAUAGGGAUUACACUGAGUAUGUAGAUUUCUUUGGGUAGUACUAACACCUUAACAAUAUUUGUUCUUCCAAUCCAUGAGCUUGGAAUAUUUUUCCAUCUUUUGGUGUCUUCUCCAAUUUCUUUCAUAAGCUUUCUAUAGUUUUCACUGUAUCGAAUUUUUACCCUUUCAGUUAGGUUUAUCCCUAGAUGUUUUAUGGGUUUUGGUGCAAUUGUAAAUGGAGUUGAUUCCUUGAUUUUCUGCUGCUUCAUUACUGGUGUAUAAAAGCCCAACCGAUUUCUGUGCAUUGAUUUUAUAUCCUGCGACUUUGCUGAAUUCAUGGAUCAGUUCUAGCAGUUU